UACGUAGGUGGCAAGCGUUAUCCGGAAUUAUUGGGCGUAAAGAGCGCGCAGGUGGUUGAUUAAGUCUGAUGUGAAAGCCCAUGGCUUAACCGUGGAGGGUCAUUGGAAACUGGUCGACUUGAGUGCAGAAGAGGGAAGUGGAAUUCCAUGUGUAGCGGUGAAAUGCGUAGAGAUAUGGAGGAACACCAGUGGCGAAGGCGGCUUCCUGGUCUGUAACUGACACUGAGGCGCGAAAGCGUGGGGAGCAAACAGGAUUAGA
rnacentral:rRNA from 1 species